GAUGAAGAACGCAGCGAAAUGCGAUAAGUAAUGUGAAUUGCAGAAUUCAGUGAACCAUCGAAUCUUUGAACGCACAUUGCGCCCGGCAGUAAUCUGCCGGGCAUGCCUGUCCGAGCGUCAUUUCUACCCUCGAGUGAGUCCAGCAUCUAGGUGCUGGGCCUCGCCCGGCGUUGGAGCACUACGGGAAGCCCUGUGCUGUCCCCCGUAGGCCCCGAAAUGAAGUGGCGGUCCUGCCGCGGCGCCCCCUGCGUAGUAUAACAGCUCGCUUCGGGACCCGGUGGAGGCCUGCCGUCAAACCUAUACUCUCUAAGUUUGACCUCGGAUCAGGUAGGGUUACCCGCUGAACUUAAGCAUAUCAAUAAGCGGAGGA
rnacentral:misc_RNA from 1 species